ensembl:lncRNA
GCGUCACAAGACGGUUUUACCUUCAGCCCUUUUGCAAGUUCCCUGCGUUGCCAUCAAUACUUUUCUAACCAAAAAYGCAGGGCUAUUUAUUCCAUUUUUUAUUUAACCUGGCACAGCACUGGGUUAAAUUUACAGCUGCUAGAAAAAAACGUUGCAGGAUGAAAACAAGUGGUACAWCCACUUGGUUAGGAAUAUAUUAGAUUGGUUGUUGCUUGAUGCCAUUGAAUUUUAUUUCCUCUACUGGGUAUCGUGAGCUCGUCGUCUCUCACGAGUGGAUCAUYGAGGCAGGCACUGCACGUGCCACCAGGGCCUGGUAUGAGAGAGAAAACACGAUUUUUCCUGUAUGUUUAAAUUUCAGCUGUUAGACACCCCUGUGAAUGGGAGCUCGUGACAAAGGAGAAUUUUCAAGAUUGCUGUUUGCUACUAUAGAAGUACAUUCAUUAGCUUUUCUGGUAAUCAGCUGAACACGCAAAACGGUGAUCUCAGAGUAAUUUUUAUCAUGUAACACGUGAAAAUGUUUAUUUUUAGAAAAAGUUACUUUAUCUGAUAUUAAGUGGAAAAUUUUUGUUGCAAGUUUUAAUUAGAGAUAAAGCAAACCUCACUUCAACCGGAGAGAAGCUCCAGGGCUUUGCAAACUUCCGUAUUAUGUAUGUCACAAAAGAAGCGUCGCAAGAAAAGAAAGAAAGGAUCAAACAAAAUCUCCACCUAUUUCUAAAAUCCUGGUAUUUGUCCCACCUAAAAGCCUGAACAUUUUUGCAAUGAGUGAUUCAGCAUCAAAUGAUGUUAAGUUUCUCAGCCUGAGAGAGUUAAAUUUCUCAGCCUGAGUGGAGCUUUUUCUUUUGAGACUAGGGCUCAAAACUGUGAACUUUUGAAACUCCCCGCGUAGUGAGAAUGAAGCUUUUCUUCAGGGGUUUGGAAAGACCUUCAAAACCAUUUCACUUCCGAUCGAAACGUCCUACCAGGCUCAGGAGCAACUCUGCUGUGACGCAGCGCUACCGAUCGUCCCAUGGAAAGGAAAGCGAGCCCUGCUCUCGUUGCUCUCUGAAAUGCUGUCCUACCGCCGGUGCGAGAACACGAGAGGACAGCCGAGGCCCAGGGGAAAGUCCGUGUGUGCUGGCAUGAUCCGUGCUCUCCAGGGUCAGUAUUUUUUGAGAAGAAGGAUAGCUGGGCUUCCUCUGUAGUUUCAGUCGCACGCUCUGAAUUCAGACAUGUUAAAUGUAGCAACAACCAGUUAUCUCAGUGCACUUUGAUGACCUACAUCCUGCAAGCCCAGGUGCUGACCGAMUGGUAUGAAGAGCUGCUGACACGUGCCGCAGGGGAAAGCCAGUGGUGGUGACCGUGGCGACGGCGUUGCUCUACCUGCUGAACGCUGUCUGGUCCAACAUUAUCUUCUGCCUAACACAAGCCACAACCUGCUACAAGGCAUUUGAGAGCGGACAAAACCCUUCGUGAACCCUGGCCGGUAAGGACGGUCUGUCCUGCUGCUAAGAGACCAGGCGUUACCUCUGCUCCGGCCUCCGCAGACCCCCCCGGCUGGCGGCACCGCUCGGGCUCGACGUGGGACAGCUUUCAGCGGCAGCUUCGCCAGCCGGACCAGCCCGGGGCAGCCGGGCUCUGAAGCACCGUGCGCAGCUCCCUGGGCCUUUCCACAGCUUAAUGCAGCYGCGAGUCGGGGCAGGGAAACCGAAUACAUUUUGACUUUACGUCGGAUUUGAUCCUGCCUGAAAGCACUUCAUUUGUGCAGUUCUUCAAGGGCAUGCACUCGAAGCCCUUUUUUUUCCUAACUGUGUUAAUUAAACCCAUCCCAAUAAGAAUAGAUGCAUAAUACAUUACACUAGUGUGUGGCUUCAGAGCUGGUUUCAUUAGGCUUCCAUGUAAUCAUUGCUUUUGAAAACGAUUAGUCUGACUGUAAGAAAAAAAAAAAAAGCAAAGCUUCUUGGUGUAUGUUUUGUGACUUCCAAUUCAGAAGUCUCUGGAAAAUUAAUUUUUCACCAAAGAGUAGCCACAUACUAGUCCUACUGAUGGCAAAAGCAAGUCCUGUUUCUUUUCAUGCUACUCACAUCAGGUGCCAUUUCCUCUGGUGUAGUUGUGGAUCCGACCAGUGCCUGCCUGUUGGUAUCAUGCACGCUUGACAGCCCCACUUGCAUAAUAGCUUUAACUCUGUAUUUGCCAUUUUCCUGCAGGGAUGAGUGUUAAAGAGAUGCUUCUAAAUAACAUUAAUUUUAAAAAUAAUCUAAUCACACUAAUCAUGUGUUCUGCCUCCAGGAAAAUUAUAUUAUUUUGCUACAGAGYGUGCUGAUGACAGUCACACACACUGCCAGCUACCUGCCUCCACCCAUGCUCUUGUCCCAUCCAAGUUCCCAGCACUUUGGCACCUGACAGACCAGCUCUUUCUCAAAACUGCAAGUCUCUAAGGGAAAUGAGGCUAUUGUCACUUGGGCUGGGGGCUCCUAAAGUCUGCUCUAGGCAUAUGUCUCUAACUGCAAAAAGAAAGACAGAUGAAUACAUGCGAGCAAAAUUUGUUAUUCCCUGAAGCCCAAUUUAACAUCCCAUUCCUAAAUUACCRUCUGUAAUAUUUAUUUUCUUCUGUUCCUAAGUUCUAUCUUUUCACUUUCUCACAUCUCAAGAAUUCACUUACUCUUAAAAAUAUGCAUCUUUGCUUUUUUUACAAGUCUGGCUGAAUCCAAAGACAUCGGGGAAGCUGAAAAACAGCAUAAAUCUGAGUUUCUUUUUUGCCAGGCCUCUUGCCCACAGCUUUGGGUGUUAGCAAUGCUGGCCUCUGCCUCCAGAGAGCUGCCAGUCUGGAGACCUGACCUAGGACUUUGUUCUCUUCCUCCGUAAUCUGCCAGUCAUGUUUCCCUCCUAAUUAAAACUAUAGCAACAGUGCAGAUUUGCCAAUACAGGGAAAGGAACUAUUCUCAAUUGCAUACAAACCCAACAAUGGAAUCGUUCUAAAUCAUCAGAAUAACUCRGUGGUACAGAAACUUCUUUUUUAAAAACUAAGUGCCUAAAUGUCUGUGUUUUGCUAUGCAACAUCUGGCAAGGGAAUAAAGGGAGAACACUGUCAGAGACA